GGGGGGGGGGGGCUAGGAUGAAAAAUUGUUUCCUGCUUUUUUUUUUAUUUGUAAUCUCUAUCCUGCCUUUUUAUUUUUCAGUCUAUUCGGUCCUGCCUUUUUUUCUUAGCUUAUCCUGACUUUUUUACAACAAAUGUCAUCCUGCCUUUUUUUUCCAAGUUACUCAUCCUGCCUUUUUUUUUACGACCAUUGGUUGACGACCUAAAUUAUCCCAUUGACUGGGACAGAUUAG
rnacentral:lncRNA from 1 species